AGCCAAUCAGCGGCGGGGUCGCGGCUCGGCCCCUGCGGCCCGGAGCUGGGGAACCCCGUGGGUAACGGAUUCCCGCUUUCAGGGGCCCCGCGCGCCCUUGGGCUGGGGGCGGGGGGGGGAGUCUGGUGCCCCUACCCGCGCUAGGAAGGAAAGACUCUGCCAAACUAACUUCACUCAAAUGGUGUGGAUUUAAAGAGAAUGCAAAGGCCUUGUCAGCUCCAACACUGGUUUCCACAUUAAAACCCAUCUGGAAAGCCUAAGUGAACUACCCGAACACCAGUUUGGGUUGUACAUUGUGUCCUUCCUCAAAUACAACGUUACCAAGAACUACAGUACCACUAAAUACAAGGUCUAACCCCAGAAGACACACAAUUCUCGAGGUUCUUCAGUAGCAAAAGGACACCGGGAACACUUAACUCCAUUCCUGAAGGAACACAGCCUUUUCUACGCAGAUGUACACACUAAAAGAAGUAAUCCAAUACAA